rnacentral:rRNA from 1 species
AUUGAACGCUGGCGGCAGGCCUAACACAUGCAAGUCGAGCGGCAGCGGGAAAGUAGCUUGCUACUUUUGCCGGCGAGCGGCGGACGGGUGAGUAAUGACUGGGAAAUUGCCCAGUCGAGGGGGAUAACAGUUGGAAACGACUGCUAAUACCGCAUACGCACUACGGGGGAAAGCAGGGGACCUUCGGGCCUUGCGCGAUUGGAUAUGCCCAGGUGGGAUUAGCUAGUUGGUGAGGUAAUGGCUCACCAAGGCGACGAUCCCUAGCUGGUCUGAGAGGAUGAUCAGCCACACUGGAACUGAGACACGGUCCAGACUCCUACGGGAGGCAGCAGUGGGGAAUAUUGCACAAUGGGGGAAACCCUGAUGCAGCCAUGCCGCGUGUGUGAAGAAGGCCUUCGGGUUGUAAAGCACUUUCAGCGAGGAGGAAAGGUUGAUGCCUAAUACGUAUCAACUGUGACGUUACUCGCAGAAGAAGCACCGGCUAACUCCGUGCCAGCAGCCGCGGUAAUAC